GAACCUACCUACCAAGGCAGGAAACCUAAGAGAUGCAGGAGACAUGGAGAACAGCUGAUCAACAUCUCAUAAUAAUCCCCUGAACACCUGAAGACAGCUGUGAGCGCUUAAAGAUUUGCUGAGGCUAAUCUGAACACAGGGAUCAAGACCUUCCAUGGCCUGCACUCUGCCUGCCUCUCCAGUCUCAUUUCGCACGCGCCCCUCAAUUCUCCUGGGAUCAGCCAUAUCGGGCAGCCAGUUCUUGUUACGCUCUUCAUAUAUUCAUAUCAUUGCAAAUGCUGUUCCUUCUGCCUGGAAUGCUCUUCCUUCAUUCCAAGGGAACUUGCCCUCAAGGCAAACCGCUUAUCAUUCUUCAAGACAGCUCAAGGAUCACCUCCUCUAUGUAUUUACUCUGAUACACUUGGUAGGAGUUAGCUAUAGUCCUCUAUUAUGCCCUAAUUGUUUGCUUGUCUAUUUUCAUUAUACUGUGGCCCUCAAUGGCAAAGAUCAUUUCUGUACCCCCAGUGCCUAGUACUACACCUUCCAUGAGC
ensembl:lncRNA